GAAAGCCCCGGGCUAAAUACGUGCCAGCAGCCGCGGUAAUACGUAUGGGGCAAGCGUAUCCCGGAAUUAUUGGGCGUAAAGAGUGCGUAGGUGGUACUAAGCGCAAGGUUUAAUCUUGAGGCUCAACCUCAUUCUGCCUGCGAACUGGGCUACUUGAGUGCUGGAGGGGAAAGCGGAAUUCCCAGUGUAGCGGUGAAAUGCGUAGAUAUUGGGAAGAACACCGGUGGCGAAGGCGGCUUUCUGGACAGUAACUGACACUGAGGCACGAAAGCGUGGGGAGCAAACAGGAUUAGAUACCCUGGUAGUCCACGCCGUAAACGAUGAGCACUAGUUGUUGGGUCCGAAUGGAUUCAGUGACGCAGUUAACGCAAUAAGUGCUCCGCCUGGGGAGUACGGUGGCAACACUAAAACUCAAAGGAAUUGACGGGGACCCGCACAAGCAGCGGAGCAUGUGGUUUAAUUCGAAGCAACGCGAAAAACCUUACCAGGGCUUGACAUCCCUCUGACCGCACUUUAACAGGUGCUUUCUUCGGACAGAGGUGACAGGUGGUGCAUGGUUGUCGUCAGCUCGUGUCGUGAGAUGUUGGGUUAAGUCCCGCAACGAGCGCAACCCUUGCCGUCAGUUACUAACAUUAGGUUGAGGACUCUGACGGGACUGCCGAGGUCAACUCGGAGGAAGGUGGGGAUGACGUCAAAUCAUCAUGCCCCUUAUGUUCUGGGCUACACACGUGCUACAAUGGUCGGUACAAUGAGAAGCAAGAUGGCGACAUGGAGCAAAUCACCAAAACCGAUCCCAGUUCGGAUUGCAGGCUGCAACUCGCCUGCAUGAAGUCGGAGUUGCUAGUAAUCGCGAAUCAGCAUGUCGCGGUGAAUGCGUUCCCGGGUCUUGUACACACCGCCCGUAC
rnacentral:rRNA from 1 species